GAGGGUGACAGGUGGUGCAUGGUUGUCGUCAGCUCGUGUCGUGAGAUGUUGGGUUAAGUCCCGCAACGAGCGCAACCCUCGACCUUAAUUGCCAGCAUUCAGUUGGGCACUCUAAGGUGACUGCCGGCUAAAAGUCGGAGGAAGGUGGGGAUGACGUCAAAUCAUCAUGCCCCUUAUGACCUGGGCUACACACGUGCUACAAUGGGCGGUACAAAGGGUCGCGAACCCGCGAGGGGGAGCCAAUCCCAAAAAGCCGCUCUCAGUUCGGAUUGCAGGCUGCAACUCGCCUGCAUGAAGCCGGAAUCGCUAGUAAUCGCGGAUCAGCAUGCCGCGGUGAAUACGUUCCCGGGCCUU
rnacentral:rRNA from 1 species